CCUCAGCUUAAUUUGGGUCCGCUAAUUAAAAAAUUGGUUCAGAUGUGAGACUAAUCCAGAUAUUCUCCUAAAUUCAGAAACCUUGGUAAGGAUUUGGAUGGACAGGAUUUGAAUUUUGAAUUCAUAGAGAAUAAGAAGUGGAAGACGUCAGCCAGAAUGACAGUUACAAUACUGUUUUCCAUAAAUUGAAGUUUCUAUCCUGGAGAAGAUCAGACUCUCCUAAGAAACUCGACUAUUGUGACUUUUGAAAAAUGAGCUUCUUGACCCUGUGAUUGGAGAAAGAGCUUGGAGAAAGAUUCAAAAGCUCAGAGGUCAAAAGGCAAACAAAAAGUUUGGUGCAGUAAGAAGUUGAUUCUAACUUCGGAAACUUCUCAGGGUCUGAGAAGGCAAGGAAGUUGGUCUUCUGCUCCCAAUCCAUGAAUCGAAUGUCAGAGUUUAUUGAGGAAUCUGUACAUGGAACUGGAUAUUCCUUCACCGGUGAUGCAGUCUCCUUUGCAGGAAGAUGGGGCAGAGACAUGUUGACUUGUCUGGGAUGUAAUUAGAGUUAUUCUACUUCCUUUUGGACUUAUUUUUCAUUCAGCCAUACUAACUGAUGAAAUUACAUGAUGCUUUUACAUUGAAACAUUCCUUUGCAAACAUGUGUUGUCUUCUGCAUCUCUGUGAUCAAUUUGCCCUCUAAAGAGAAGGGUUAGAUCUAGUUGGCCAGACACAUAUGGUUGCUACACAUACUUAACUUUUCACCCACACUGUAAAAAAUCCCUAACUCAUCCAGCAUGUUGUUAUCAGCAUUUAGUCCUAAUGAAAGAAAUCAUUUUUAAAGGCAGAAUGAGUGGGCCUGAUUAUGUUCUCACUUAAGCCGAGUGCAAAGGAGACCAGAAUCAGAUUCAGCAUGCUUUCCCCCCCUCCCCCCAGAAAGAGUGAAUAAGCUUAUCAAUUUCCCUGGCAGUUGCUCUUCCAGUUGGCAUUUUCAUUAUACAAAAUUAAU